rnacentral:tRNA from 1 species
GGAGAGGUUCCCGAGCGGCCAAAGGGGACGGGCUGUAAACCCGUUGGCAUUAGCCUUCGGUGGUUCGAAUCCACCCCUCUCCA